UACGAAGGGGGCUAGCAUUGCUCGGAAUCACUGGGCGUAAAGCGCACGUAGGCGGAUUUGUAAGUCAGGGGUGAAAUCCCGGGGCUCAACCUCGGAACUGCCUUUGAUACUGCAAAUCUCGAGUCCGGAAGAGGUGAGUGGAAUUCCUAGUGUAGAGGUGAAAUUCGUAGAUAUUAGGAAGAACACCAGUGGCGAAGGCGGCUCACUGGUCCGGUACUGACGCUGAGGUGCGAAAGCGUGGGGAGCAAACAGG
rnacentral:rRNA from 1 species